GAAAUAUUGAGAGCUUGCUUUUGAUUAUUUUAGCGGCGGACGGGUGAGUAACGUGUGGGCAACCUACCUUUUACUGUGGAAUAAUCGUUGGAAACGACGACUAAUACCGCAUACGGUUCUUGGAAGGCAUCUUCUAAGAAAGAAAGGAGUAAUUCGGUAAAAGAUGGGCCCGCAUCUGAUUAGCUAGUUGGUGAGAUAACAGCCCACCAAGGCAACGAUCAGUAGCCGACCUGAGAGGGUGACCGGCCACAUUGGGACUGAGACACGGCCCAAACUCCUACGGGAGGCAGCAGUGGGGAAUAUUGCACAAUGGGCGAAAGCCUGAUGCAGCAACGCCGCGUGAAGGAAGACGGUUUUCGGAUUGUAAACUUCUAUCAAUAGGGAAGAAAGAAAUGACGGUACCUAAAUAAGAAGCCCCGGCUAACUACGUGCCAGCAGCCGCGGUAAUACGUAGGGGGCAAGCGUUAUCCGGAAUUACUGGGUGUAAAGGGAGAGUAGGCGGCAAGGUAAGCGAUAUGUGAAAGCCUUAAGCUUAACUUAAGGAUUGCAUAACGAACUAUCUAGCUAGAGUACAGGAGAGGAAAGCGGAAUUCCUAGUGUAGCGGUGAAAUGCGUAGAUAUUAGGAAGAACACCAGUGGCGAAGGCGGCUUUCUGGACUGAAACUGACGCUGAGGCUCGAAAGCGUGGGGAGCGAACAGGAUUAGAUACCCUGGUAGUCCACGCUGUAAAC
rnacentral:rRNA from 1 species